GACGAACGCUGGCGGCGUGCUUAACACAUGCAAGUCGAACGAUGAAAGCUGGAGCUUGCUCCGGCUGGAUUAGUGGCGAACGGGUGAGUAACACGUGAGCAAUCUGCCCUUGACUCUGGGAUAACUCCGAGAAAUCGGUGCUAAUACCGGAUAUGACCCUUGGCGGCAUCGCUGGGGGUGGAAAGUUUUUCGGUCAAGGAUGAGCUCGCGGCCUAUCAGCGUGUUGGUGAGGGAAUGGCUCACCAAGGCGACGACGCGUAGCCGGCCUGAGGGGGUGACCGGCCACACGGGGACUGAGACACGGCCCAGACUCCUACAGGAGGAAGCAGUGGGGAAGAUUGCACAGUGGGCGCAAGCCUGAUGCAGCAACGCCGCGUGGGGGAUGACGGCCUUCGGGUUGUAAACCUCUUUUAGCAGGGAAGAAGCGAAAGUGACGGUACCUGCAGAAAAAGCACCGGCUAACUACGUGCCAGCCGCCGCCGUAA
rnacentral:rRNA from 1 species